rnacentral:rRNA from 1 species
UUCCGGUUGAUCCUGCCGGACCCGACUGCUAUUUGGGUGAGGAUAAGCCAUGCGAGUUGAAUGGGAAACCUAAAGUUCCCAUGGCAAACUGCUCAGUAACACAUGAUCAACUUACCCUAUAGAGAAAAAUAACCUCGGGAAACUGAGGAUAAUGUUUCAUAGUUGAAUUGGCUUGGAAAAGUUUUUCGACGAAAGGGGUAAAAAAAAUGGUUUUUAUCUGCUAUAGGAUAGGAUCGUGUUCGAUUAUGGUUGUUGGUGAGGUAAUGGCUCACCAAGCCGAUAAUCGAUAGGGGCCGUGAGAGCGGGAGCCCCGAGAUGGGUACUGAGACAACGACCCAGGCCUUACGAGGCGCAGCAGGCGCGAAACCUCCGCAAUACACGAAAGUGUGACGGGGUUACCCAAAGUGUUCAAUUUUGAACUGUGGUAGGUGAGUAAUGUUCCCUACUAGAAAGGAGAGGGCAAGGCUGGUGCCAGCCGCCGCGGUAAAACCAGCUCUUCAAGUGGUCGGGAUAAUUAUUGGGCUUAAAGUGUCCGUAGCCGGUUUAGUAAGUUCCUGGUAAAAUCGGGUAGCUUAACUAUCUAUAUGCUAGGAAUACUACUAUACUAGAGGGCGGGAGAGGUCUGAGGUACUACAGGGGUAGGGGUGAAAUCUUAUAAUCCUUGUUGGACCACCAGUGGCGAAGGCGUCAGACUGGAACGCGCCUGACGGUGAGGGACGAAAGCCGGGGGAGCGAACCGGAUUAGAUACCCGGGUAGUCCUGUCCGUAAACGAUGCAUACUAUGUGAUGGCACGGCCAUGAGCCGUGUCAGUGCCGUAGGGAAACCGUUAAGUGUGCCGCCUGGGAAGUACGGUCGCAAGGCUAAAACUUAAAGGAAUUGGCGGGGGAGCACCACAAGGGGUGAAGCC